GCUCCGAGCACCACCAUGCGGGACGAGGAGCCCCCCCUGCCGCCCCCCUCGCCCGGCGCCGCGCGCUCCGCGCCCUCGCGCCUCCGCCGCACUCUACACACGCUACGAACGCCGUUCCGGCCUGGUUCGCCCUUCCACAUCGGCUUGAUCAAGCGCACAGGCUCCUCCAAAUCCGUUGCCUCAGACGGUGAGAUCGGCCGCGACGAACGCACGAUGCGUAAGCGAAACAAGAAAAACCGUGACGCGGUCAGCGACGCGUCGCGUAGCACCGACAGCUCGCCCGGCGUCGACAAGAAGAAGAAGGAGGGGAGCACGUUUAUGCGCAGGAUGGGCAGUUUCGGCAAGAAGCGCGCAGGCGAGUCCCCACAACCACCCUCAGAAACUCAACCAUCUACCUCGGAAAAAUCGGAACCACCCGUAGAACACCCGCUUUCGCAACCCUCCGAGCCGGAGCAGCCAACCCCCGAACCAGUGCAGCCUACCCCUGAGCCAGUGCAGCCUACUCCUGAGCCCGUGCAGUCUACUCCUGAACCUGAGCAGCCCACCCCUGAGCCAGUGCAGUCUACCCCUGAACCUGUGAAGCCUACCCCCGAACCUGAGCAGCCUAAUCCCGAACCUGUAAGUCCUAUAGCGGUAGAGCACCCUGUUGCAAUCCGCCCUUUCAGUAAAGCCGCUUGGAAGCGCAACAGUGAGCCUGAAAUGGAGAAGCCUGUGGAGGACCCCAGCCCGGAGAGUGCACUGCGGCGGCGCAUUGCAUUCGUAGCGCAGGCGUCGGCGUACCUGUCGGAGGAGCACGAGGACGGGGAGAGGGGGGGCGCGGAGGUGGGGUCGCUGGAAGAGGCGGUGGCGCUAGCGCGCGUGCGGCUGGCCGUGCCCGCGCCGCCCUCGCCGGCACUGUCGCGCGACACCGACACGGAAGAGGAGGGGUACUCGGACGCCAUGCCCGCGUACGGAGACCUCAUCGAGCCCGACGGCAGCGCCGGCAGCGACGGCGCAGCGUCCCACGCAUCCCCGAGCGCUGAGCGUCGGGAACAUCUAUACAAGAUCCUGGUGAUAGGAGAACUGGGAACUGGGAAGACGUCCAUCAUCAAGCGAUAUGUGCACCAAUUCUUCAGCCAGCAUUACAGAGCAACCAUCGGUGUGGACUUCGCGUUGAAAGUAUUGAACUGGGACGCGAAUACUAUCAUUCGUUUGCAGCUAUGGGAUAUUGCGGGUCAAGAGCGCUUCGGCAACAUGACCCGCGUAUACUACAAGGAGGCUGUGGGAGCGUUCAUAGUGUUCGAUGUGUCCAGGGUUGCGACGUUCGAUGCCGUGGUCAAGUGGAAGAACGACCUCGACGCUAAGGUCCAGCUGCCCGAUGGAUCACCCAUACCUUGUAUAUUGCUGGCAAAUAAAUGCGACCAACAAAAGGAAGGCAUAGUGAACUCUCAAGCCAAAAUGGAGGAGUACUGUCGCGAAAAGGGCUUCGCUGGUUGGUUCGAGACGUCCGCCAAAGAAAACAUCAACAUUGAGGAGGCGGCCAGGUCACUAGUUAAUAAGGUCCUGAACCAGGCCCAGGGGGGGGUCAUGACCUUGUGACCUACCCCCUGGAUCCGCCGUUGAGACAACCAGAAUUACCACAGUUUUGCUUUACAUUACCGAUCCUAUUAAACGACAAACUACUCCAGAGCAACGACAACAGGGAUGGUGACAAGUUCGCGCUUGACCACAAGAUCGCUAACGGCGAGAACAGUCGGGAUGGAACCACAAAGUCAUGCUCAUGCUGACCAUUCACCGACCGC
rnacentral:misc_RNA from 1 species